GACGAACGCUGGCGGCGUGCUUAACACAUGCAAGUCGAACGGAAAGGCCCUGCUUGCAGGGUACUCGAGUGGCGAACGGGUGAGUAACACGUGGGUGAUCUGCCCUGCACUUCGGGAUGAGCCUGGGAAACUGGGUCUAAUACCGGAUAGGAGCCAUUUUUAGUGUGAUGGUUGGAAAGUUUUUUCGGUGUAGGAUGAGCUCGCGGCCUAUCAGCUUGUUGGUGGGGUAAUGGCCUACCAAGGCGGCGACGGGUAGCCGGCCUGAGAGGGUGGACGGCCACAUUGGGACUGAGAUACGGCCCAGACUCCUACGGGAGGCAGCAGUGGGGAAUAUUGCACAAUGGGCGCAAGCCUGAUGCAGCGACGCCGCGUGGGGGAUGACGGCCUUCGGGUUGUAAACGCCUUUCGCUAGGGACGAAGCUUUUUGUGACGGUACCUAGAGAAGAAGCACCGGCUAACUACGUG
rnacentral:rRNA from 1 species